rnacentral:rRNA from 1 species
CUUUAAGUUUUUAAGGGCACACGGUGGAUGCCUUGGUACCAGGAACCGAAGAAGGACGUAGGAAUCUGCGAUAAGCCUCGGGGAGUCGAUAACCAGACAUUGAUCCGAGGAUUUCCGAAUGGGGAAACCCGGCUGGAUUCAUCUCCAGUUACUCCUGCCUGAAUAUAUAGGGCAGGUAGAGGGAACGUGGGGAAGUGAAACAUCUCAGUACCCACAGGAAGAGAAAACAAUAGUGAUUCCGUGAGUAGUGGCGAGCGAAAGCGGAUCAGGCUAAACCGGUCAUGUGUGAUAGCUAGUAGGCGUUGCAUGGUCGGGGUCGUGGGACAUACCAGUUCCGGGUCUACUAACCCGGUGCGGAGUAAAAAAUCAUGUGCAUAGGCGAGACGUUUGGAAAAACGUGGCAUAGAGGGUGAGACCCCCGUAGCUGAAAUGUGUGUGACUUCGUUGGUUUGUUCCCAAGUAGUACGGGGCUCGAGAAAUCCCGUGCGAAUCUGGCAGGACCACCUGCUAAGCCUAAAUAUUCCCUGGUGACCGAUAGCGAACAAGUACCGUGAGGGAAAGGUGAAAAGUACCCCGGGAGGGGAGUGAAAUAGAUCCUGAAACCGUGUGCUUACAAUCCGUUGGAGCUGGACUGCGGUCUGGUGACAGCGUGCCUUUUGAAGAAUGAGCCUGCGAGUUAGUGCUCAGUGGCGAGGUUAACCCGUGUGGGGAAGCCGUAGCGAAAGCGAGUCCUAAUAGGGCGUCAGAGUCGCUGGGUCUAGACCCGAAGCGGAGUGAUCUAUCCAUGGCCAGGUUGAAGCGCCGGUAAGACGGCGUGGAGGACCGAACCCACUUAGGUUGAAAACUGAGGGGAUGAGCUGUGGAUAGGGGUGAAAGGCCAAUCAAACUCCGUAAUAGCUGGUUCUCCCCGAAAUGCAUUUAGGUGCAGCGUCACGUGUUUCUUUCCGGAGGUAGAGCUACUGGAUGGCUAAUGGGCCUCACCAGGUUACUGACGUCAGCCAAACUCCGAAUGCCGGAAAGUGAGAGCGUGGCAGUGAGACUGCGGGGGAUAAGCUUCGUAGUCGAGAGGGAAACAGCCCAGAUCAUCAGCUAAGGUCCCUAAGCGUGUGCUAAGUGGGAAAGGAUGUGGAGUUGCUGUGACAACCAGGAGGUUGGCUUAGAAGCAGCCACCCUUUAAAGAGUGCGUAAUAGCUCACUGGUCAAGUGAUUCCGCGCCGACAAUGUAGCGGGGCUCAAGCACACCACCGAAGCUAUGGCAUUGAUACAUUGCCCGGCUGAUCCCUUNNNNNNNNNNNNNNNNNNNNNNNNNNNNNNNNNNNNNNNNNNNNNNNNNNNNNNNNNNNNNNNNNNNNNNNNNNNNNNNNNNNNNNNNNNNNNNNNGGGGUUCAGUCCAAGCGUAUUGAUGGGUAGGGGAGCGUCGUGUGGCGAGUGAAGCGGCGGAGUGAUCCAGUCGUGGAUGCCACACGAGUGAGAAUGCAGGCAUGAGUAGCGAAAGACGGGUGAGAAACCCGUCCGCCGAAUAUCCAAGGGUUCCAGGGUCAAGCUAAUCUGCCCUGGGUAAGUCGGGACCUAAGGCGAGGCCGACAGGCGUAGUCGAUGGACAUCCGGUUGAUAUUCCGGAACCGGCGAAGAACCGCCCAUGCUGAAUCAGUUGAUGCUAAACACCCAAAGCACGCGCGCUGAAUCCUUCGGGAUUCUUGUGUGUGUGGAGCGUGUGACCCGAUUCUGUAGUAGGCAAGCGAUGGAAGGACGCAGGAAGGUAGCCUCCGCGUGGCGAUGGUUGUCCACGUCUAAGAGCGCAGGAACCGGGAGUGGUAAAUCCGCCCGAUAUGUUCCGAGGCUUGAUAGUGACCGCGUAUGCGGGAAGUAGGGUGAUCCUAUGCUGCCUAGAAAAUUUCCUAGCGAGGUUCGAGCCGCCCGUACCCCAAACCGACUCAGGUGGAUAAGUAGAGAAUACUAAGGCGAUCGAGUGAAUCGUGGUUAAGGAACUCGGCAAAAUGCCCCCGUAACUUCGGGAGAAGGGGGGCCGGAUACGUGAAACCACUUGCUGGUUAGCGUUGAAGGCCGCAGAGACCAGGGAGAAGCGACUGUUUACUAAAAACACAGGUCCGUGCGAAGUCGUAAGACGAUGUAUACGGACUGACGCCUGCCCGGUGCUGGAACGUUAAGGGGAUGGGUUAGUCACUUUGUGGCGAAGCUCGGAACUUAAGCGCCAGUAAACGGCGGUGGUAACUAUAACCAUCCUAAGGUAGCGAAAUUCCUUGUCGGGUAAGUUCCGACCUGCACGAAUGGCGUAACGACUUCUCCACUGUCUCAACCGCGAACUCGGCGAAAUUGCACUACGAGUAAAGAUGCUCGUUACGCGCAGCAGGACGGAAAGACCCCGGGACCUUUACUAUAGUUUGGUAUUGGUGUUCGAAACGGUUUGUGUAGGAUAGGUGGGAGACUAUGAAGCAUGCACGCCAGUGUGUGUGGAGUCAUCGUUGAAAUACCACUCUGGUCGUUUUGGAUUCCUAACCUCGGUCCGUGAUCCGGAUCAGGGACAGUGCCUGAUGGGUAGUUUAACUGGGGCGGUUGCCUCCCAAAGAGUAACGGAGGCGCCCAAAGGUUCCCUCAGCCUGGUUGGUAAUCAGGUUUCGAGUGUAAGUGCACAAGGGAGCUUGACUGCGAGACAGACAUGUCAAGCAGACACGAAAGUGGGGACUAGUGACCCGACGGUGGCUUGUGGAAGCGCCGUCGCUCAACGGAUAAAAGGUACCCCGGGGAUAACAGGCUGAUCCUGCCCAAGAGCUCAUAUCGACGGCAUGGUUUGGCACCUCGAUGUCGGCUCGUCGCAUCCUGGGGCUGGAGUCGGUCCCAAGGGUUGGGCUGUUCGCCCAUUAAAGCGGUACGCGAGCUGGGUUUAGAACGUCGUGAGACAGUUCGGUCCCUAUCCGCUGCGCGCGUAGGAAACUUGAGAAGAGCUGUCCCUAGUACGAGAGGACCGGGAUGGACGAACCACUGGUGUGUCAGUUGUCCUGCCAAGGGCACCGCUGAUUAGCUACGUUCGGACGUGAUAACCGCUGAAAGCAUCUAAGCGGGAAGCACACUUCAAGAUGAGGUUUCCAUCAGGUUAAAUCCUGGAGAGGCUCCCAGCUAGACUACUGGGUUGAUAGGCCGGAUGUGGAAGCACAGUAAUGUGUGGAGCUGACCGGUACUAAUAAGCCGAUAACUUAAACAA